rnacentral:lncRNA from 1 species
GAGAAAAGUUUCACAGAACAGGUGAAAUUUGAACAUCAGUGAAGGAUAAACAAUUUUCCAGGCAGAAAAAGAAAGGAAGAAAAGAAAUCAAACCAUUCUAAAGAAAGAAAGGAACCCAUAAAAAUAUAUAGGUGCAUGAGAAAGUUCCUUGUAUUUCAUAAUCUGGAAAUUGGUUUGGUUAGAGUGCAGAUGAUGUCAGGACGAUGGGAUCCGGUCCUCUAGCAGAAAGCAUGGGGAUAUUACCUCACACUCAACAGGGAAGCAUUAAAUAAUUUUACAUCCAAGAUAAUAGAUACAUCCAAGAUAAAAUACAAGAUAAAACUUGCAUUUUAGAAUAACUCUGCAAAUUCACAUUAAAAAGAAGUACCUAUUACAUGGGGGGAAAAAACCCAAAAUACUUAGUGAAAGCAUGGUUAACCUGCAAGUUUCAUGCAAUUUAAAAAUGCGUAUCCAGCUGAGUAUUCAUACUCUGACACAAUACGUUCUCAUCUGCCCUCCUCAUGUAGCUGUAUUACUUUUGUAAUUUCAAUCAAAACAGGAAGAAGCAUAGGCAACUGAAUGAAGAAUGGAAUGUGAAUGAGGCUGGAGAAAUGUGAAUCAAAAAGAAAGCUAAUGGAGUUGUUCAAGUGAGAUGUGAGGGCUGAGCUAUGGUAGCCUGGCUGGAGAGGGGGAAGAAAACUUUAAAGAUAAAGCAGAAUCUAGGACUUGUUGAACCAAUGAAGAUGCAAGAUGGUGACAAUGGGAGAAAUCUUCAUUAUUUUCCUUCAAGAGCUUUUGCAAAGACAUUUAUGACUUCUCUGCUAAGUUUUAUCUGCAAAGAAUGGUAUGACGUAUUGCUGAUC